rnacentral:rRNA from 1 species
GCAUAUCAAUAAGCGGAGGAAAAGAAACCAACAGGGAUUGCCCUAGUAACGGCGAGUGAAGCGGCAACAGCUCAAAUUUGAAAUCUGGCUUCGGCCCGAGUUGUAAUUUGCAGAGGAUGUUUCUGGCGCGGUGCCUUCCGAGUUCCCUGGAACGGGACGCCACAGAGGGUGAGAGCCCCGUAUGGUUGGACACCAAGCCUGUGUGAAACUCCUUCGACGAGUCGAGUAGUUUGGGAAUGCUGCUCAAAAUGGGAGGUAAAUCUCUUCUAAAGCUAAAUACCGGCCAGAGACCGAUAGCGCACAAGUAGAGUGAUCGAAAGAUGAAAAGCACCUUGAAAAGGGGGUUAAACAGUACGUGAAAUUGUUGAAAGGGAAGCGCUUGUGACCAGACUUGCGCCGGGCGGUUCAUCCGGGGUUCUCCCCGGUGCACUCCGCCCGGCUCAGGCCAGCAUCGGUUUUCGUUGGGGGAUAAGAACGGCAGGAACGUGGCCCUCCUUCGGGUGGGUGUUAUAGCCUGCCGUACGAUACCCUGACGGGGACCGAGGUUCGCGCUCCGCAAGGAUGCUGGCGUAAUGGUCAUCAGCGACCCGUCUUGAAACACGGACCAAGGAGUCGUCCAUUAGAGCGAGCGUUUGGGUGUCAAACCCGCACGCGUAAUGAAAGUGAAAUUAGGUGAGAGCUUCGGCGCAUCAUCGACCGAUCCUGAUGUUCUCGGAUGGAUUUGAGUAAGAGUUUUAACGSACGGACCCGAAAGACAGUGAAYUAUGCUUGUAUAGGGUGAAGCCAGAGGAAACUCUGGUGGAGGCUCGCAGCGGCUCUGACGUGCAAAUCGAUCGUCAAAUUUGAGCAUGGGGGCGAAAGACUAAUCGAACUGUCUAGUAGCUGGUUACCGCC